rnacentral:rRNA from 1 species
GCUAUCGGGGUGGGACUAAGACAUGCGAGUUGAGCGUUUCUAGCUAUGUUGAGACGCAGCAUACGGCUCAGUAACACGUGGCUAACCUACCCUCAGGACAGGGACAAACCCGGGAAACUGGGGCUAAUACCAGAUAGGCGAGGACUCCUGGAAUGGUUCCUCACCCAAAGGACCUUGGAAACAUGCUUCCAAGUCGCCUGGGGAUGGGGCCGCGUCCGAUCAGGUUGUUGGUGAGGUAACGGCUCACCAAGCCUAUAACCGGUACGGGCCGUGAGAGCGGUAGCCCGGAGAUGGGCACUGAGACAAGGGCCCAGGCCCUACGGGGCGCAGCAGUCGCGAAAACUCCGCAAUGCACGAAAGUGUGACGGGGCUACCCCGAGUGCCGUCCGCUGAGGAUGGCUUUUCCUCGGUGUAACUAGCCGGGGGAAUAAGGAGAGGGCAAGACUGGUGUCAGCCGCCGCGGUAAUACCAGCUCUCCGAGUGGUAGGGAUGAUUAUUGGGCUUAAAGCGUCCGUAGCUGGCUUAGCAAGUCUCCUGUUAAAUUCAGCGACCUAAUCGUUGAGCCGCGGGAGAUACUACUAGGCUAGGAGGCGGGAGAGGUCGACGGUACUUUCGGGGUAGGGGUGAAAUCCUAUAAUCCCGGGAGGACCACCAGUGGCGAAGGCUGUCGACUAGAACGCGCUCGACGGUGAGGGACGAAAG